UACGAAGGGGGCUAGCGUUGCUCGGAAUUACUGGGCGUAAAGGGAGCGUAGGCGGGUCGUCAAGUUGGGGGUGAAAGCCCAGGGCUCAACCCUGGAACUGCCUUCAAAACUGGCGACCUAGAGUAUGGUAGAGGUGUGUGGAACUCCGAGUGUAGAGGUGAAAUUCGUAGAUAUUCGGAAGAACACCAGUGGCGAAGGCGACACACUGGGCCAUUACUGACGCUGAGGCUCGAAAGCGUGGGGAGCAAACAGG
rnacentral:rRNA from 2 species